rnacentral:rRNA from 1 species
AUGAUUCGUGGGACGUCCUGCCGGUGGUGGCGAGUCGAAGGCGUGCUCCCGUUGUGGUUCCCACUUCGGUUCUUGCGCGCCCGAGGCGGACCCCGAUGAAAUCCUACCGCGGUGCUCUUCGCCGAGUGUCGAGGUGGGCCGGCACGUUUACUUUGAACAAAUUAGAGUGCUUAAAGCAGGCCUGUUGCGCCUGAAUACUGUGUGCAUGGAAUAAUGGAAUAGGACCUCGGUUCUAUUUUGUUGGUUUUCGGAACCCGAGGUAAUGAUUAAUAGGGACAGGCGGGGGCAUUCGUAUUGCGACGUUAGAGGUGAAAUUCUUGGAUCGUCGCAAGACGGACCGAAGCGAAAGCAUUUGCCAAGUAUGUUUUCAUUAAUCAAGAACGAAAGUUAGAGGUUCGAAGGCGAUCAGAUACCGCCCUAGUUCUAACCAUAAACGAUGCCAGCUAGCGAUCCGCCGAAGUUCCUCCGAUGACUCGGCGGGCAGCUCCCGGGAAACCAAAGCUUUUGGGUUCCGGGGGAAGUAUGGUUGCAAAGCUGAAACUUAAAGGAAUUGACGGAAGG